rnacentral:rRNA from 1 species
AGAAACCAACUGGGAUUGCCUUAGUAACGGCGAGUGAAGCGGCAACAGCUCAAAUUUGAAAUCUGGCAUCAGCCCGAGUUGUAAUUUGUAGAGGAUGUUUCGGGCAAGGCUUCGGUUUAAAUUUCUUGGAACAGAAUGUCAUAGAGGGUGAGAGUCCCGUCUAAAACCAUCUGCCGCGUCCAUGUGAAACUCCUUCGACGAGUCGAGUUGUUUGGGAAUGCAGCUCAAAAUGGGAGGUAAAUUUCUUCUAAAGCUAAAUAUUGGCCAGAGACCGAUAGCGCACAAGUAGAGUGAUCGAAAGAUGAAAAGCACUUUGAAAAGAGAGUUAAACAGUAUGUGAAAUUGUUGAAAGGGAAGCAUUUGCAACCAGACUUGAGUUUAACGGUUCAACCACCAUUUUUGGUGGCCCAUUCCGUUAUAUCCAGGCCAGCAUCGGUUCAGGUGGUUAGUUAAAGGCCUUGGGAAUGUAUCAACGCUUCGGGGUUGACUUAUAGCCCUUGGUGUAAUGUGACCUAUCUGGACCGAGGUACGCGCUUCGGCUCGGAUGCUGGCGUAAUGGUUGUAAAUGACCCGUCUUGAAACACGGACCAAGGAGUCUAACAUCUAUGCGAGUGUUCGGGUGUCAAACCCCUACGCGUAAUGAAAGUGAACGGAGGUAGGAACCGCAAGGUGCACUAUCGACCGAUCCUGAUGUCUUCGGAUGGAUUUGAGUAAGAGCAUAGCUGUUGGGACCCGAAAGAUGGUGAACUAUGCCUGAAUAGGGUGAAGCCAGAGGAAACUCUGGUGGAGGCUCGCAGCGGUUCUGACGUGCAAAUCGAUCGUCAAAUUUGGGUAUAGGGGCGAAAGACUAAUCGAACCAUCUGGUAGCUGGUUCC